UACGUAGGGGGCAAGCGUUGUCCGGAAUUAUUGGGGCGUAAAGGGCGCGUAGGUCGGCUUUUUCAAGUGAACGGGUGAAAUCCCUCGGCUUAACCGAGGAACUGCCUGUCAGACUGGAAGGCUUGAGACCGGGAGAGGUGAGUGGAAUUCCCAGUGUAGCGGUGAAAUGCGUAGAUAUUGGGAGGAACACCAGUGGCGAAGGCGGCUCACUGGACCGGAACUGACGCUGAGGCGCGAAAGCGUGGGGAGCAAACAGG
rnacentral:rRNA from 1 species